GCUUGGCUAAGUCAGGACUCCCUGGAAGACCCAUCAGGGCUCUAUUAAACCACAAACCAAUCUAGAAGGAGAUGUGAUGAAAAUGCAGGUGAAUUCACUUUUCCCCCUAUUUUUAGUUUUGCUUUUUAGCCCUCAACAUUUCUGUUUCAGAAGUCUUUUCAGGAAAUACCAUCUUGUAUAUACUAUAUUCAAGCAGAAUAAAAGAAAGGGAGAAAAAAAGCUUCAAAGCAGAUUCUGAUCUCUUCCCAUCAUUUAGUGCUGCUGCAAAUAAAAAGUUAGGUGUCAAAAGCCCUCUAGAGAAGAGGUGCAGGUGGAGAAGGAUCACUUUUGUCAAUGCCUGUCCAAAUAACAGCCUUACAACCUUCUCCCAGGAAAUGGAAGAAGGUGGUUCCUGGCUGUAUCUGCCAAACUUCAAUAUAUGUAGACAACAUGCAGCAUUACAUAAUUUGCAACAUUAAAGAAGAAAUAUAGAGGUGAAGAUAUUGUGCAAGAUGUCAGAAUGAAAAAGAAGUUUGAAGCUUUAUAUCCUUUCAAAGUGGGAAGACAAAAGAACAAGCAAUAAAACUGAGAGUUCAGAAAUUCCUGAAUUUGAC
rnacentral:lncRNA from 1 species